UAACGGCGAGUGAACCGGGAUGAGCUCAAAUUUGAAAUCUGGCGUCUUUCAGGCGUCCGAGUUGUAAUCUAUAGAGGCGUUUUCCGCGCCGGACCGCGUCCAAGUCUCUUGGAAUAGAGUAUCAAAGAGGGUGACAAUCCCGUACUUGACGCGACAACCGGUGCUCUGUGAUACGUUCUCAACGAGUCGAGUUGUUUGGGAAUGCAGCUCUAAAUGGGUGGUAAAUUCCAUCUAAGGCUAAAUAUUGGCGAGAGACCGAUAGCGAACAAGUACCGUGAGGGAAAGAUGAAAAGCACUUUGGAAAGAGAGUUAAACAGCACGUGAAAUUGUUAAAAGGGAAACGAUUGAAGUCAGUCGUGUGAAAGGUAUUCAGCCGUCUCUGGCGGUGUAUUUGCCUUUCACGGGUCAACAUCAGUUUAGUCCGGUAGAAAAAGGCUGGAGGAAGGUGGCACCCUCGGGUGUGUUAUAGCCUCCUGUCACAUGUGCCGGAUUAGACUGAGGAACGCAGCUUGCCGCAAGGCCGGGGUUCGCCCACGUACAAGCUUAGGAUGUUGACAUAAUGGCUUUAAA
rnacentral:rRNA from 1 species